rnacentral:misc_RNA from 1 species
GAUUAUAAUGUUAGUGCAACAUUUAAUGUUUCUGAUUUGUCCCAUUUUGAUGAUGCAGAUUUACAUUCGAGGGCGAAUGCUUUUGAGGAGAGGGAAAAUGAUGCAAGAUCAAAGGCAAAUCCAAUGGACCAUGCACAAGAGGAGGUUCAGCCAGCCCAUUAUGAAGCUUUGAAUGUUUCCCAAUAAUAAACAAUGGGCCAAUCACAAGAUGUAUGCAUAAAACCAUGUUACAUGCCAACUUGUGCCGAAUUCAACUAAGAGCUUAAAAGACCAGCAAACAUAGAUGGAUGAAGGCAUAAACCAGC